rnacentral:rRNA from 1 species
CCCGCGGUAAUUUGUCCCUGCGAAGGUAGCAUAGUCAGUAGUCUUUUAAUUGAAGGCUUGAAUGAAAGGUUGGACGAGGGAUGAGCUGUCUCCUUUACGUAAUUUGAAUUUAACUUUUGAGUGAAAAGGCUCAAAUUAUUUAGUGGGACGAUAAGACCCUAUAAAACCUUAUAUAAGUUUAAUUUGGCUUACAAUUUGAGUGAAAAGUAGCUUUAUUAGGUUUAUAUUUCGUUGGGGAGAUGUAGAUAUAAUGUGUAACUGUCUGUUUAAUUUAAUAAUUAUAAUUAGUGUGUGAUCCUUCUUUGUGGAUUAAAAGUAUAAGUUACUUUAGGGAUAACAGCGUGAUUUUCUUUGAGAGUUCUUAUCGACAAGAGUAGUUGCGACCUCGAUGUUGAAUUAAAAUUUCAGUUAGGUGUAGCCGUCUAGCUGGUAGGUCUGUACGUCCGUC